rnacentral:rRNA from 1 species
UACGUAGGUGGCAAGCGUUUGUCCGGGAUUUACUGGGCGUAAAGAGCGCGCAGGCGGUCGUUCAAGUCGCGUGUGAAAGCUCCCGGCUCAACUGGGGAGGGUCACGCGAUACUGAUCGACUCGAAGGCAGGAGAGGGUAGUGGAAUUCCCGGUGUAGUGGUGAAAUGCGUAGAUAUCGGGAGGACACCAGUGGCGAAGGCGACUACCUGGCCUGUUCUUGACGCUGAGGUGCGAAAGCGUGGGGAGCAAAGCAG